rnacentral:lncRNA from 1 species
UCCCCGGGGCCCUGCAGUUCCUGUGUCAAAGUCACUGACCCAGAGGUACAGGGCCUUGGCUCGCGGGGAGCCCAUCUGAUCUGGGUCAGCCAGAGCCGUACGACACAGGCAUUUUUGCGCCUCCUGACAAGGUCUGGCUGGCAGUUAGAAGGAAACGUUCUUGUUACUACGUCCCCGCUGAGCGGCAGUCCCUGGCCUCUCCGGAAGCCGUGCUGCACAGCUCACCUGUUUGUGGCCUUGGGUGAGGUCUCACGGGACCCGGCAAGGCUGGGAGGAGAGCAGCCUCGUGUUUCCGCUGGAGAACGAACUGGCGGCAUCGCAACCGCCAGGCCCAGCCCCAAAAGGCUGAAGGCCACGGCCAGGCAGGCGCGUGGACCAGCCAUUCGGAGCAAGACUCGAUCUCUGUGCGUGUCAGUUGCAGAUUCCCAGGGUAGUGCCCCCAUCUGUCCAUGUGGCAUUCUGUCUGCUUGCUCCCAGAACGUCGCCUCUGUCCCCAACACUGCUGUGGGCUAGGAUAUUGGAAACAUCCUCGGAGCCGGAAUAAUCCAUCCUCCCCAGGGAGUAUUCUCAGCAUGCUGGACGACCCACAAGGACGUCGGCGCACGUCCUACCCAGCGACCCUCUCUCUGGAUGGCACAAACCUCCAGGGAAGAGAGGCCAAGGAGGCGCCGCUCCGGUCCGUCAGGCCCCUGGUUUGCAAAUGAAGAGCUGCCCUCAACAUGUGUGUAAGUUAGAACAUGGAAAAGGCUCGUCCUGAGAGCCCGAAACGGCAUAGCUGUGGAAUAAAUUGUUUUGAAAGUAACUUGAGCA